AAGAAUGAGAACAUGUGGUGUUUGGUUUUCCGUUCCUGUGUUACAUUGCUGAGGAUAUUGGCCCCCAGCUCCAUUCAUGUGUCUGCCAAGGACAUGAUCUCAUUCCUUUUUGUUGCUGCAUAGUGUUCUAUGGU